UCUGAUAAAGAACAGAGUCAAGGUAAUUUCCAUGCUAUAAGAAAACUUGAGGUAUUCUAGAGAAACAAGUAGAUACACCUUACUGACUUAUCCUGUUAAUGUUUAACAGUAACAGUUUUGCUCUUAAGCAAAAAAUUCUAUUUGCAUUAUUUCAAAAUACUUUAGUAAAUUGAUCAAACAAAUGUUGCCAAAAAGUCUUAAAAAUACAAGUCUGAAUCCAAUUGGGGUGGAUUAAUCUAUAUACACAUGUUAUUUCCCUAUUCUCUAAUGGAUAGACCUUCCCCUCCAGUCUUAUUGCGAGAUGGUCAUGUCUGUGAGUCUUUUAGUAGUAGUAAGACAUAAAAUAAAAGGGUUGAAAAACAAUUUCAUUUAAAUUAUCUAUGUUUUUUCUUCUUCACUGUUCCAUAGAUCAAUGACCCAUAUCUCAAGUCACUGUGCCACAUGGCAACACUGUGUACAUGGGAACUGUCCUAUCACAUGAACUUCCACCAUUGUGAUGUCACCACCCUGAAAUCCUCACCAGAGGAAGAACAGAUGGGGCUACCUGAUCUUGAGUUUUCAGCCACCGAUAUUCAUCAAGACUACAGAAAGAAGAGAAGCACUACCCAAGAAGUAAUGAUGUCUAAAGCGCAACCUGUUUUGAAAACCGCUACUACUGAGGCUUCAUUGCAAGUUCCGCAUCCACCAAGCCUCUAAGGCGCUGGCUCAGCGCAGAGUUAUUAAAGCUCUCGCCGCGAGAGCCGCCAACAGGAAAUACGCCAUCAUCAGGCGCAACCGUCUUAGCCUCGGCGCAUGGGAAGGUGACGUACAGGUUGGAGAUAAUGGUGGCCCGCCGAGACCGAAUUUUCUUGGGUAUUCACAGCCGGGCGGGGCGUGGGUUGGCGUCACUCUCAAUUUCUGUGUUUUCGUGGUUAUUGGAGACGGACGUUUUAUUUAUAUUUUCCUCUUGUUCAUUCGUUUUCAUGUUUAGGGUGUCGCAUUUUAAAACAUGAAUUUGCAUUUGUUCUUGCUAAUAUACAUUAUUAAUACAAGUUUUAAAGAUUCAAAUAUUUGCUUGUGAUCCCACCAAUCUAUCACUUUUCUACAGAUUAUUUUUAAUGACAGAGACCAGAAACAAGGGAUUUUUAGAGCCUAACUGCCAAAGUGCAACAUGUUUCAUCUGAUUAUAUGGGCUUUGCUUAACCUAUCGUUUUAUAGCUGUUUGGAUUCUGGUGUGUGUGUGUGUGUGUGUGACUCAGAAUACAGAACAGGCAAGGAGGAAUUUAUAGCUGAGGAGCAGGUGGAAGUCAGUGGCUGGAAAAUUACUAAGUGGUAAUGGGUAUCAGAUAUCACUUCCUGGGGGUGGAGGAUGAGAAACCUAAUCAGAUAUCUAGGUGGGGGUGUCUUGCUAAACUGAGUUAGCAAGGCUGUUUUCUAAAACUGGAUUUUAUAAGGCAGUCUGCAGAUGGUCCUUGGGAAAGGUUCCAGAUCCUGAUUAAAAUUUGAUUAAGCCUAGAAUCUUUGUCAGUGUGAGGAUUAUUAUUAUUAUUUUAUGUAGUACUGGAGACCAAACAGCCAUGUUAGGCAAACACUCUAACACCAGCCCAGGAAUUCAAGUUUUUAUACAAUGUUCCAUGCCCCCAUCCCCUUUCCAAGGAAC
ensembl:lincRNA